AGCAUAUUAAUAAGCGGAGGAAAAGAAACUAACAAGGAUUCCCUCAGUAACGGCGAGUGAAGCGGGAAGAGCUCAAAUUUGAAAUCUCCGAUGCUUGCAUCGGCGAGUUGUAGUUGCGAGAAGCACUUUCUAGGCGGAUCGGCGGUGCCUAAGUUGCUUGGAACAGCACGUCGCAGAGGGUGACAACCCCGUCUGUGGCGCCGCCGGCCGCUGACGAUGCGCUUUCGAAGAGUCGGGUUGUUUGGGAAUGCAGCCCAAAAUGGGUGGUAAACUCCAUCUAAAGCUAAAUACUGGCGUGAGACCGAUAGCGAACAAGUACCGUGAGGGAAAGAUGAAAAGAACUUUGAAAAGAGAGUUAAAAAGUACGUGAAACCGUCGAAAGGGAAACGAAUGGACUCAGCAAUGCGCCCUCUGAGAUUCAGCCGGUGGGUGUCGUCGGCGCGGGGUUUGCGGAUCUGAAUGGACCGCGGCCCGGCGCUCGGCGUUCCCCCGCCGUCGCACUUCUCUGGGGCGCGCGUCAACGUGGGUUGGGACUGGGUCUGAAAGGUGCCGGGAAGGUAGGUGUGGGCCUUCGGGUCCGUUCUGUUACAGCCCGGUUCUCUCGUGGCUCGGGCCCGACCGAGGAUGGAAGGGCAUGCCUCCUGUGGCUAGGGUCCCGUCCUUCCGGCCGGCUGUCCAGUGCGGUGGACUGCUUGCAGUGCUCCGCGACGGCUGCCGGUCGUUGGGGUGGUGAUCUCGUACCAUGCCCUUAGGAUGUUGGCGGUCAU
rnacentral:rRNA from 1 species